UAAAAUUUUUUAAUAAAAAUAUAUAUAUUAAAUAACUAAAAAUAAAUAUAAAUAUAAAAAUAAAUAACCAAGUCAAAGCUGUAAAAUACGAAAUUAUCAAUUUUCAAUGGCUGUUCUUCGAGCAUUGUAUUUAUUUUCCAUUCCAUAAAUGCAAACUAAUAAUGAUUAACACAUUCUGCAUAGCUCAUGAAAACUUAUCAGUUACUAAUUUUUUGCUCCAAAUUCACCAGAAUAUGUAGUCUCUUUUAUUAUUUUCUCUAUAAACUUGAACAACAACACAAUAGUCCUACCUAGGUAGAUUCGAGAAAAAGUCUAUUGGGAAAAAAAAAUUAUUGAAUGCAAUAAGAAAAAAAAGAGAAAACGGAUAAAAAAAAAGGAAAAAAAUAUUUUUUUAGCUUGUACAAAACAACAAAUUUGUAUUCUAAUCUGACUCCGAUAACCCAAAAUAGAUUUAACAAGAUUCAUAUAUAUUUCUAAAAAAAAAACAACAUUCAUUAUAUGAAAUAAUUCUUCUCCAGUAUCAUUAAAUUGUACCAAUCAAAAAAUGUUUAGUGAAUGGGGCACUCUGAUUAUUUACCGUCAUCACAAAGCUACUGAAAAUAAUUUGGUUCAACGCAUAAGAAAGGAAUAGUUCAAUUUAGACAUAAUUGCUAACAGUAGAUGAGUACGAAAAGGAAAUAAUAAAAAAUAUUAAAACCAAUUGGCAUAUAGAACGCGAUAUAAGAUCAUACAAACCAGUAAAAAGAGACAAUAAUUAACGUCAAUACAAUCCAAUAACAGCAUAAAAAGGAAAAAAAAAACCAGCUCAAUAAAAAAAAAGCCACAUAAAAUUUACACAAAACUUUAAAAAAUUUACACAACUUCAUACUAUAAACUUCAUGCUAUAAAGUUCAAAAUAAAAUAAGUCUCUUACACAUAUCCUUCAAAUAUACUUAAAAUAUUAUAGAAAUUAAUCUUAUGAUAGUUUUGCUGGAAAAAUCUUCACUUUUCUUCUUCAUCGGUAUCAAAA
rnacentral:lncRNA from 1 species